rnacentral:rRNA from 1 species
GGUGAACGCUGGCGGUAGGCCUAAUACAUGCAAGUCGAGCGACAGGACAGUGAGAGUUUGCCCUUACGGGUGGCGAGGGACGGACGGGUGAGGCGUACAUCGGAUUCUACUUUUUCGUGGGGGAUAACGGGGGGAAACAGCCGCUAAUACCGCAUACAAUCUACGGGAUAAAUCAGGAGAUCUUCGGACCUUUGCCGAUAGAAUGAGCCGGUGUCGGAUUAGCUAGUUGGGGGGGUAAGGGCCCACCAAGGCGACGAUCCGUAGCUGAUCUGAGAGGAUGAUCGGCCACACUGGAACUGAGACACGGUCCAGACUCCUACGGGAGGCAGCAGUAGGGAAUAUUCGGCAAUGGGCGCAAGCCUGAUCCAGCCAUACCGCGUGGGUGAAGAAGGCCUUCGGGUCGUAAAGCCCUGUUAUUGGGGAAGAAAAGAAGUAUAUUUAUCUACCCCCGUCUUGACGGUACCCAAACAAUAAGCACCGGCUAACUACGUG